ACCCGCUGAAUUUAAGCAUAUCACUAAGCGGAGGAAAAGAAACUAACCAGGAUUCCCCUAGUAACGGCGAGUGAAGAGGGAAUAGCCCAGCACCGAAGCCUGCGGCAGUUUUGCUGUUAGGCAAUGUGGUGUUUGGGUCGGCUUAUGGGAUUGCCACUCCACUCGAAGUCCAGCAUUGAGUAUGGUCCCCUGGAUUUGGCCCAGAGAGGGUGAAAGGCCCGUACGAGUGGAUGUAUCAGACAUGUAAGGCAGUUCACCAAGCCGGCCUUAGAGUCGGGUUGUUUGGGAAUGCAGCCCAAAGUGGGUGGUAAACUCCAUCCAAGGCUAAAUACAAGCACGAAUCCGAUAGCGAACAAGUACCGUGAGGGAAAGUUGAAAAGUACUUUGAAGAGAGAGUAAACAGUACGUGAAACCGCAUGCAGGUAAACGGGUGGCGUCAAGCUGCAAGCCCAGAGGAUUCAGUCGGCUAGGAUGUAGUGUAUGCGCCUGGCGCAUCGAGAGGCCAGAGUAAGAUUGGGUGAUCUGCUGGGAAACAGCGGGCUCAGCCUUAUGGUUGAGAUAUGUGUACCGGGUGGUUGCCGGAGCAUGUCACUCGUCUGUUGGGCCGUCUAGCCGGUGCACUUCCUCUGUUGGUGAACACCACGGCCGGUGGUAUUGCCAGUCUGCCAUAGUCAAGUCGUGUUCAGUUGGUACUUGUGACCAGUUGGAUUGCGAUGAUCACAGGCAAAUUCGGUGAACGGUGUAGGGGUGUUUCGGCAUUCCUGCAUGUUAUCGGGCACUGGUUGUCAACGGGUCUGUUUAGUGAUUGUUGUAGUCGUCGCUAGAUGGCCUGGUGGAUUAUGGUGGUAAGAAUAACUGUGCAAGGCACCGGAGUUCUCGGUCUCUAAUGCAACCUGCAUGCACACUGCAAGUGACAUGGGAUGUUAUUGCAGCCUGCCUGUUAUUGGGUCUGAUUGUCGUGUCGCCUGCGCAAAGUGGGCCCGGCAGUGGCCUGGUGCAGGAUGGUGUUGUGGAUAGCAUUUCGUGUGUAGGUUGCUGUGGACCAAACAGUCAGUGGUGUAGUGGUAGACGAGCUACCCGACCCGUCUUGAAACACGGACCAAGGAGUUUAACAUGUGUGCAAGUCAUGGGGUCCUACGAAACCCAAAGGCGCAGUGAAAGUGAAGCUUCGACUUGUUCUCGGAGUGUGGUGAGAUCCCAUCGUUUCUCGCAUACUGCCAGCACCAGGCAAAGAGCGGUGGGCGCAUCACCGGCCCGUCCCAUGAUGUGGUCGUUGGUUGGCUGGGUAGUUGCUUCGGUGGCUGCUUUGGCUGCUAGCGCAUCAUCGGGGCGGAGCAUGAGCACACAUGUUGAGACCCGAAAGAUGGUGAACUAUGCUUGCGUAGGUUGAAGCCAGAGGAAACUCUGGUGGAGGACCGCAGCGAUUCUGACGUGCAAAUCGAUCGUCAAACGUGAGUAUAGGGGCGAAAGACUAAUCGAACCAUCUAGUAGCUGGUUCCCUCCGAAGUUUCCCUCAGGAUAGC
rnacentral:rRNA from 1 species